rnacentral:rRNA from 1 species
UGGGGAAUAUUGCACAAUGGGCGCAAGCCUGAUGCAGCCAUGCCGCGUGUAUGAAGAAGGCCUUCGGGUUGUAAAGUACUUUCAGCGGGGAGGAAGGGAGUAAAGUUAAUACCUUUGCUCAUUGACGUUACCCGCAGAAGAAGCACCGGCUAACUCCGUGCCAGCAGCCGCGGUAAUACGGAGGGUGCAAGCGUUAAUCGGAAUUACUGGGCGUAAAGCGCACGCAUGCGGUUUGUUAAGUCAGAUGUGAAAUCCCCGGGCUCAACCUGGGAACUGCAUCUGAUACUGGCAAGCUUGAGUCUCGUAGAGGGGGGUAGAAUUCCAGGUGUAGCGGUGAAAUGCGUAGAGAUCUGGAGGAAUACCGGUGGCGAAGGCGGCCCCCUGGACGAAGACUGACGCUCAGGUGCGAAAGCGUGGGGAGCAAACA